GCCAGCACUGUUCCAUUAGCCUACUUUCCACUUAAAUGCAAGAUUAAAUCUUGGCCACUCAUUAUGUUUAAUCCAAUGUCCAAUACUUACUCCCCACCACCAUAUAAAAACCAAAUUAACAUCUAAAACCCUAGGGGGGACUUUGGGGGAGCAGCAAGGCAGAGAACGGACUACCCUAGGACAACCGCCUCCCCCUCCUGAACUUUUUGAUCUUCUUUCUUUGAAUCUCUAAGGGACCAGCAGAGAAUUCACCUGAACAUAGGGAAAAGAGUGACGAGAGGGAGAGAAAUAGAGGGAACGAUAUAGUGAGAACGAGAGUGAGAAGGGAACGACCAGAAUUUCAUUAAAAGAAAUGGAAAAACGCUACAGAGAGGCUACGUGAGUUUGAUCACGCACUAAAAAAGACGAACGGAAGUACUGUCCUUCAAAUUUUGGUUUUAAAAAUGGAGGUCACCCGAGGUUGUGUUUGAUUCGAGGUUUCCGGUCCGGGUUCGUGAGCUUGAAGCAACCGUUGAUGUGCACUUGAUUUGGAUCUCUAUUGUUUAAUAUUUAAUAUAAAAGGAAGAUUCGUCAAAGGUUUAUUCCUUCCCUUUCCUCUGUUUUUUGAUUUAUCUCCCGUGAGUUGUUUGUGUUUGUUUGCAAUCCAUGCUUUAAUUGUCAUUUUGUGAAUGACUUGCAAAUUUACGUGUGUAUUGAAUCUUGGGAAUACAUGUUGACAUGUUAGUAGAAUGGAGACAGUAGGUGCCCGUAGAGGACAUUUCCGAUUAAAUGAACUUGGGCCAUGGGAGUUCGAACAGAAUGUUAGACUUUGGAUAUUUUUUCUUCUUGUCAUUUUAUUUUAUUUAAUUGGAUCGCUAGGAGUAUGUUAGGCCGAUAACACCUGGGUAGGCAAAUUUUAGGACUUUAUAUUUUAUUUGAGGUUAGAGGUUGUCUCGUAGUUUAUUAUUUUAUCCGGGGUAUGCCCCGUAAUGAAUGUAAUUGGAGGCCGUGACAGACAUCGUGGAGUGAGCAUAGUAUAGACUUUUAGUAUUUUCCUCUUAUUUUAUUUUUUUUAUUAGGUGGGGACGACCUCGAACCUCUUUUGUGUUGAUUUUUGCUUUUGUGUGUUUCUGCCUCAAUCUGAGUAUUCUUUAAAGCCAACUAAAUCGUGUAUGCAACCGUGACUUUCACGGGACUUGGGGAAUGCCUAACACCUUCUCCCCGAGUCAAAUGAACCCCAUUACCUAUAAUUUCUGGUGCAGUCAGUUUUAGAGUCAAAUGUGUUUUGAAGAAAAAUUAUUAUUUUAAAAAUGGUGACCUGGCACACCGAAACCAAAUAUCAGGUGGCGACUCUGAAAAUCCUUCGAAACGCAAUCUUUUUGUCACUUUCAUGAUUGAAAACCCUUUUGUGCUUUAAAACUACUUUAUCCUUUAAAGAGGGUUAAGUGAAGUGAAAAAGGGGUGUGACACAAGCCACUCUCAUAGCUAGGACCUCCCAUGUAGUAGCUUUCUUCUCAAAAAUCCGAGAAUUCCUUUCAAUCCAUAGUGUAUGACUAUACUGUGCAUAAACUAGCUUAAAAACUCUUGCCAGCUGAGAUCUGCCCUUUGUUUUUAUAACUAUCCAUUGAUGAUUUGUUACCCAUGAUUCUAUAGGAGAAUAUUGAAUGUGCAGCCAGUUCAUGAGUUUGUGCUAUAGGUAUUUGCCAUAUUCACAUUCAUCAAAUAAGUGGUCUCGCGUCUCUGGCUCUUGAUGGCAAAAACAACAAGUGUCUUCUAUCUGCAUUCCCCAUUUCUUUAGUCUAUAAGCUGUUAAUACUCUUCCCUGCACCUGAAGCCACAUGGUGAAGAUGACUUUUGGUGUUGCCUGGUUUUGACACAUCAAUCCUUCCCAUGGAACUUUUGGUAAUAUGCCUAGUUGCUGUAGGUACACUUGCUUUGUAACUGUGCCUUGUGACAAGUUGUUAAUACUGUGCAAUCUGUCCCUUGCCUCAAACACCUUUCGAACCAUCCAACAUGCUUGCUUUGGUACUCCUAUAUCCAUAAACUCUUGCUCUUUGAUGUAGUAACUAUGAAUCCAUCUGAUCCAUAACUUAUCCUUCUUGUUAGCCAACUCCCAACAGGUCUUAGUAAUAGCAACUUUGUUCCACAUAGCCAAGUUGAUCAAGUUCAAUCCUCCAGCAGCUUUUGGAGAGCAUAUCCUAUCCCAUGUCACGAAAGACUUUUUAGUUAUUGUAUUCACCCCAGACCAUAUAUAACUUCUAUAGUGUGCUUCAAUUACUUUGAUGACUUUAGCUGGUAUAAUAAAGAUUUGAGCCCAAUAGGCUUGAGUGCCAAAGAUAACUGUUUGGACUAACUGAAUUCUGCCUGCAUAGGACAGUUUCUUUGAUGUCGAUGAAGAAAUCUUGCUCACAAUUUUGGCAAUAAGGGGUUGCCACUGCAGCACCGAAAGCUUCUUCGUAUCAAGAGGUAUGCACAAGUAUUUGAAAGGAAGCACUCCUUGACUCUACCCUAGAGCUUGCUGGAUCUCAUGUUUCAUUUCAUUGUUAACUCCUCCAUAAUAUAUUGAUCUUUUGGCUAGAUUUGCUUUAAGGCCUGAGGCUUCUGUAAAAGUGUUAAACGUUUGAUGCAAUAGGACAACAGAUGUAGUAUCCCCUCUUGUGAACAAAAGAAGAUCAUCAGCAAAGCUCAAGUGAGUAAGGUCCAAUCUAGAACACAUAGGAUGAUAAUGGAAGGUUUUCUCUCGCUUGAGUGUCUUCAGAUUCCUACUCAGAUACUCCAUUGCUAUGCCAAAGAGGAAUGGGGACAUAGGAUCUCCUUGUCUAAACCCUCUAGCUGCAUCAAAUGGCUUAGUUGUCUCUCCUUUGAUAAGAAUGCUAUAGUUCACUAUUGACACACACUGUAUGAUCUAGUUGGUAAAUUGCAGUGGAAAUCCUAGACAUUCUAAUAUUUGGUGCAAGCACCUCCAGUCAACUGUAUCAUAGGCUUUCUGUAUGUCCACUUUAAUGAGGCAUCUUGGAGAAAUAUUCUUCCUUGAGUUAGCCUUAACUAACUCAUGGGCCAAUAGGAUAUUGUCUGCUACUUUCCUGCCAGGAAUGAAGCCAGCUCGGGUGUCUGACACAACUGAUGCAAUAACUCUUUGGAGUUUGUUUGCAAGAAUUUUGGCAAUUAAUUUGUACAGAACAAUGCAUCAAGCUAUAGGUCUAUACUCCUUGAUACUUGUAGGAUGGGGAACCUUAGGAAUCAAGGUGAUGGCUUUGCAAUUGAUUGCUCUUAAAAGCUUGCUCGUUUGAAAGAAAUCCAUCACAACAUGUCACAAUUCUGGUCUGAUCAAUGCCCAAGUUCUUUUGAAAAAUAAUGCAUUGUAGCCAUCAACACUGGUGCUUUAUCAUCUCCAAUUGCACACAAUGCUUCAAAUAUUUCUUGUUCAGUGACCUCAGCACAGAGGCUCACUUGCUGAGAAUUAUAGAGGCAAUUAUUUCAUCCUAGAUCUGUUUCUGGUCAAUGAGUCUAUCUCCAAAGGCAUUAGUAAGUUCAACACUAACUUUUUUAUGACUCCACUCCUUCAUAACAUCUGAGAAGUUUUUUGUGUUAGAGUCACCAAGCUUUAUCCACUUAGCUCUGGAUUUCUGCUGAAGGAUGCUUUCCUCUAUUACUGACCACCUUUCCUGCUCUUCAAGUAAUGUUUUCUCCUCUAAUGCAACUGCAUCAUUAUAGCCUCUACUCAGUAUCUCUUGGGAAUCCUGAAGCUUGUUUAUGAUAUGCUCUAUUUUAGAUGUAACUCCUUUGAACUCAUUGUUAUUAAGUUGCUUCAAUUCAGACCUGAGAACCUUCAGCUUACACCAGAUAUCUUUCAUGGUAUCUGAAUGCAGUUGUGUCUGCCAGACUUCAUCAACCACUGAUAAGAAGUAUUCAUGAUCAGUCCAAAUAUUAAAGAACUUAAAUGGAAUCUUACCACUGGAUUCAGCUCUCCUAAGAGUGAUCAUCAUGGGAGCAUGAUCUGAGAUAAAAGGAAAAUUUUAAUCCACCUCCAUAUGUCCAAAUGUGAAAUCCAUUCAUCAUUUCCAAUAGCUCUAUCAAUCCUGCUAAAAACUCCAUCUCCACUUUGUUGCUUAUUAGACCAGGUAUGGUAAUCCCCCUUCCAAGGUAAUUCACAUAAGUUCAAACAUUGCAUGCAGUUUGUAAAGUCUUGAAUUUGAUUACUAGUUAUUGGAUUCCCAUAUAAUCUAUCGUGUAUAUUUAGGACUAAACUAAAAUCUCCCUAAAUAAGCCAAGGCUUGCUGAUCUGUGUAGCAAGUUUUUGCAGUUGCACACAGAGAGGCUUUCUCAGCUCAAUUGUAUUAAACCUAUAAAUGACUGUCAUGGCACAGUUCAGUUGAUUCAACCUUCCUCUAACAUCACAAUGCAUAACUUGAGCAGACUGGUCUAUUACUGAAACAUCAUAGGAGGAAGGAUUCCAUAGUAUCCAGACCCUUCCAUUAGCAGCAUGAUCAUAUUUAAACCUUUCUUGCCAACCUGGCAUUACCCUAUUAGCAAUGCCAUCAUCCUUAUAUUUUUUAACUCUAGUUUCUACUAAAUCAACUAAUUUGAUAUUAUUCUCUUUGAUAUAGGUACCCAACUCUUUUGCUUAUAACAUUUGUUGGUACCUCUAAUGUUCCAAACCAACCAAGACAUCAGGUAGAUUUGGAUGUACCACAUGUAGAUGGUACUGACAAAUUAGCCAUCACUGCUACAUUUGUCUGUUGGCUUGAUCUUUGCUUACCAGGUGACAUAACUAUUUAUGCAUAUUUCAGGGGUAUGCCAUUUAUUUCUGUUACUUUCUUCCCUUUAUCAUGAUUUUUUUGCUGGCCUUCUUCAAGAAUUGGUUCUGCUUCUCUACUCACAUCAUCACAUGUAUUAAGCCCUUGUUGAUUCAACAUCAUUGUCUUCCCCUGAAUAACAUUGUGUGUAGGAGCUAACACAACUCCUGUAGUCUUCCAUACUUGCUUCACAGGCUAUGGCCUACUUCUUUAGGCUGUUGAACUUGAUUUACCUCCUCUUUGCAAGCCUUUGUGCAGUCAUGACUAAUUUUUAAGCACUUUAUUUCCAUGAAAUCUGUCAUAAAUAAACUCUAUGAACUUCCCCACUAAUGCCCCGCAUGGCGCAUUGGAGAAGGUGUUUUCGUAUGGGCCCGACCCUACUUUGUAUAAAUACAUAUAAAAAUGUGAUUUUAUGGACUUUUGACACAUCUUAGACCUAAGUAAGCCAAGGAGGAGGUGGAGAAGCAAAAACUCAAGGAUUUCAUCAUUCGAUCCUCAAUCAAGACAAGGGUUUGGAUUGUUUUAUGCUUUCCUUUAACUUAAACAUUGUUACUCCUUAUCCAUGGAGUAGUUCUCUUUAGGGUUUGAUGGAUUUGGUGUCUUGAUACUUGUUUGUGGAUAAUUAACUCUAGUUCUUAUGUAUUGAAUCGUUGUGGAUGUUUUAACUGUUGCAUCUAUAUUCAUUUGUUUUGUAAUCGAGACAGGCAUAACUUGUGACAUUGUUGCAUUUUAUUUUGUUGGUUGAAAUCAUUAAUUCUUCUUAGUAAUCGGAAGAGGAUAGUUGAAUUGUUGAUUAAACUUAAUUAGGAGGAUAAUCG
rnacentral:lncRNA from 1 species